rnacentral:lncRNA from 1 species
UCAAUUUCAUACGCUUUUCUAUGUUUACUUUUUUUUUUUUUUUUUUUUUUUCUUUUUAGAGAAAGGUAACUGCUCACAAACAAAAGAAGAAUACAUUCGCCAGCGAAAAUAUGAUCCUAAUUAUUUAUUUACUAACAGAUUUUAUCAAGAUAUUUAUACAAACAUAGAAGCAGAAGGAGAAUUGAAUUAUAUAGAUGAAUUAUUAAAAUGCGAUGACGAAACUUACAUCAGCCAAAGUACAUUAAAUAAAAUUACCGAAAAUGCGAAAAACAAGGAAAUGAAAAACCAUUAUAUAGAUAGGGUAUUUUUACAUAGACAUACUCAAAAUGUAAUGGAUGACAAAGACUAUGAAGAGUAUAAAAAAAAAAUUAGGACAGAACAUAAAUAUUUAGAUGUCCCUUGUUUUAAAUUAACAGAGCUUAUGAAUAUACAACCGAUAUCUAAAGAAGAUGAAAUAGAUGAUAUUGAUGAGUUUGAUGAUAUCGACGUAAGUCUGUUGGAAAACUAUUACAAACGAUCUGAAUACCAACAGAAAAAUCACCGUAUGGGGAAUAUGCAUAUGGGUAAAAUUAACAAUACAACUAAUACAGAAAAAGAAAUAUUAUCACAUAACAAUAGUACCAAUAUGAAUACUAAAUUAUUUACGGAAAAUAAUAACUCUAAGGAAGAUAUUAGUGUUAUAGAAAGAAGAGAGGAAUUAAUAAAACAUAUGGAAAAAAUAAAAUUAGAAAAAGAACAGUUCUAUAAUAGCAUACCUAAUGAAUGUAUGCCUCAUAAAAUACUUGAUCGCCAGUUUACCUUAAACGAACAAUUUAUAUUAUCGCAUCAUUUAUUUACUCUUCGACAUGAUGCAGAUUUUGGAGCUAUAGCUUAUUUACCUAAAACUGAAGAUGAUAAAUACAUUUAUAGGAUAAUAGAACUAAGCCCAUCAUAUCAAUAUAAGUUAAGAAGAAUUUUAGAUGACAAAAAAAAUAAUAUACACCCAGACGAUACAAUAAAUGCUAUAUGUAAAAUGUUACCACCCGAAGAACAAUCUAAAUUCUUAAGUGAGUUAGACAUAAGAUAUUAUCUUCGUAUACCCAUGAGUUCAGGCUGGACACAUUUUGGUUAUUUGAAAAAUCAGUAUAACGUUCUUUUUUUUAGAAAGCCUAAAAAUUGAUUUCGUUGGGAU